rnacentral:rRNA from 1 species
AAUAUCCAUUAUGGAAAAUUCAACAUUAAUAUUAUAAUAUUUAUUUUAUAGAUAUUAUGAAAAUAGUGUGCAAUUUUUCCAUAUAAGGACAUUGUAAUCUGUUAAUGUUAUAAAUAUUUAUCAUAAGAUUCAAUUAAAUUAGUUUAUUCAAAUUAGUUAUUUUCGGAUUGCUAACAUAGAAUAAAUUGAUUGGAUUUGAUAAAUCAUUGACAGAUUUCUUUAUAUAUAGUGCUUAAAUUCUUUAUUGAAUUUUACAAUAAUUUUGAAAUUUGUAUAAAUUUCUUAAUUUAUUGUAUGCACUUAUAUGAUUAACAAUGCUAUAGAUUCAGGAUACCUUCGGGACCCGUCUUGAAACACGGACCAAGGAGUCUAACAUAUGUGCAAGUCAUUGGGUAUUUUCAAUAAAACCCAAAGGCAUAAUUAACUUAACUGUUAUAUAUAUAUGGGAUUAGUUUAUAUAUUAUUAUUUUAUAUAAAUGAAAUCCCGGGGCGUUCUAUACAGUUAUGUAUAAUAAUAUUUAUAUUAUUUAUACCUCUAACUAGA